rnacentral:misc_RNA from 1 species
AAGUCGUAACAAGGUUUCCGUAGGUGAACCUGCGGAAGGAUCAUUACCAAAUCCAAAAAAACUUUCUAUCAACACCCCAAUGUGAACUGAGAAUGGUUUCGUCCCUCCGAAAAUUCUCUCUUCUUCGGAAGGCAGGACGGAGGAGGGAUGUUCAAACACAUUUUUUUUCAACCCCUUUUCAACCAUUAAAAACCCAUUUUUUUAAUGCUGAAAGCAAACAAAAAACGAAACAUGAGACAACUUUUAACGGUGGAUCUCUUGGCUCGU